AUCACAUUGAAACACCAGUUCUCAUACGAUCACUGAAGUUAAGCAACAUGAAGCCAGAUCAGUACCUAGAUGGGUGUUCACAUUGGAAGUACUAGGUGCUGUAAG